rnacentral:sRNA from 1 species
UUUGCAGUUUCUCUCAAUGUGUCCUCUCUCUCCACAACGGUAACACUUGUUCUUCCAGUCCCCUGCUGUGCAGUCACGAGCCCAAUGACCAUCUACACCACAGUUAAAACAGCGACCAGCUCCAGGUGGUGGGCCUCUGCUAUCAAAAUCCCGA